rnacentral:rRNA from 1 species
CCUACGGGAGGCUGCAGUGGGGAAUAUUGCACAAUGGGGGGAACCCUGAUGCAGCGACGCCGCGUGAGUGAAGAAGUAUUUAGGUAUGUAAAGCUCUAUCAGCAGGGAAGAAAAUGACGGUACCUGACUACGAAGCCCCGGCUAACUACGUGCCAGCAGCCGCGGUAAUACGUAGGGGGCAAGCGUUAUCCGGAUUUACUGGGUGUAAAGGGAGCGCAGACGGCUGUGCAAGGCUGGAGUGAAAGGCGGGGGCCCAACCCCCGGACUGCUCUGGAAACUGUAGAGCUGGAGUGCAGGAGAGGUAGGCGGAAUUCCUGGUGUAGCGGUGAAAUGCGUAGAUAUUAGGAAGAACACCAGUGGCGAAGGCAGCUUACUGGACUGCAACUGACGUUGAGGCUCGAAAGCGUGGGGAGCGAACAGGAUUAGAUACCCCGGUAGUC